UACGUAGGGGGCAAGCGUUGUCCGGAUUUAUUGGGCGUAAAGAGCUCGUAGGUGGUUCGGUAAGUCAGGUGUGAAACCUCCAGGCUCAACCUGGAGACGCCACUUGAUACUGCUGUGACUGGAGUCCGGUAGGGGGAGCGUGGAAUUCCUGGUGUAGCGGUGAAAUGCGCAGAUAUCAGGAGGAACACCAGCGGCGAAGGCGGCGCUCUGGGCCGGUACUGACACUGAGGAGCGAAAGCGUGGGUAGCAAACAGG
rnacentral:rRNA from 1 species